rnacentral:rRNA from 1 species
UACGUAGGGUGCAAGCGUUGUCCGGAAUUAUUGGGCGUAAAGAGCUGUAGGCGGUUUGUCGCGUCUGCUGUGAAAUUUCGGGGCUCAACCCCGAACUUGCAGUGGGUACGGGCAGACUAGAGUGUGGUAGGGGAGACUGGAAUUCCUGGUGUAGCGGUGAAAUGCGCAGAUAUCAGGAGGAACACCGAUGGCGAAGGCAGGUCUCUGGGCCAUAACUGACGCUGAG